CCCCUCUCAGCGUAGUACCUGAAGAGUUUCCAGUACUCUACCAGCUUAGACUAUUGGAGGGAGAGCCAAGUAGAGGCAUAGGCAUUCCAUUCCUAGCUUGGGCAGUGGCUAGUGAGUGGAAGGCAAUCUGCUACAAGU